rnacentral:rRNA from 1 species
GUGAGGGACGGCUCUCCAGGGCUUCAACGGGUAACUAAUCUGAGAGGACGAAUACCCACGCUGGAACUGUGGACCGGUCCAGACUCCUACGGGAGGUGCCCCCGGGGAAUCUUGUCCUCUGGGCGAAAGCCUGAUGCAACGACCCCCCUCGCCGGAUGAGUGCCCCAUGAUCGUAGCCCCCUUUCACUAUGGACCAAAAUGACCCCACCUACCUAACAAACCCCGGCCAACUACGUGCCAACAGCCGCGGUGAGACGUAGGGGGCGAGCGUUGUCCGGAUUUAUUGGGCGUAAAGGGCUCGUCUUUGGUUGCGUAAAUUCCAUGUGAAAACUCAGGGCUUAACCCUGAGACGCCAUCCGAUACUGCGCUGACUUGAAUCUUCUUCAGGAGUGUGGAAUUCCUGGUGUACUGCUGAAAUGCGCAUAUAUCACGAGGAACUCCUACCCCGAAGGCACCACUCUGGGCCGGUACUGACACUGUUGAGCGAAAUUCCCUACUGCUGCCACGAUUAGAUACCCUGGUAGUCCCCCCCGCACACGGUGGGUGAUAGGUGUGGCGACUUUCCUCGGCCUCUGCGCCUAGGCUAACGCAUUACUUG